CAGCGUGAACGCCAGGUAAAAGCGUGAAUGUGUCGACAAUACAAUAAAAGGUGUAUCAAAUUCUCUAUAAAAAUACUCAUGUGUUGACGAGCACCUUCGCCUCUUGUUCUUCAUUCUUUGUGCAGUGUGUAAAAUAUCUGAUCAUGUAGAAUCAAAGUGCGAUGGUUUUCCGUCAUGUGGGAUUGAAAAAAGUGAAUUUCCCUGGCCAAGUUUGACUCAAGAGUGAGAGAAAGGUGUCACAAAAGAUGAAACUGGCGAACAGAAUCAAAUGUCUCGCGUAUUUUCUCUAUAGUUACGCAAUUUUCUUAGCGGUCUGCGGAGCAGUUCUUGUCGUCUUCGGAGGCUACGUUCUCUACCACCAUCUAGGCUACAGCCUCCUGGUUGAGGGCGGUGCCUGGGGCCCCAGCGCCGCUACGCUAUGCCUCGGCUUGGUGGCCAUCGUCGUGGCCUGGACAGGCUGGAAUGCCAUCGCGAAGAGAAAUCGCUGCCGUCUCUAUCUCUUUGGCACCGCCCUUCUUGGCCUCAUCCUGCUCAGCAUCUUCAUCACCAUCUGGUCUCUGACCACCAGGAAAGACAUCCAGGCGACGGCCUCCUUGCCCGUUGAAAACGCCUUCCAGGACUUCCUCUCCGAAGCCAAUUCGCUCAACGAUCACAGCCACUUGUGGAAUCGCCUCCAGGCCGAGAUGCAGUGUUGCGGCGUGCACGGGAUCACGGAUUACAUCCGCACGUCCAUCCCAUGGUCGUGCUGUCGCCGCCCGGACGAUCCCUCGGACCCACGCUGCUCAUCUUCCUACCAGCGCGGCUGUUUAUUGCCUCUCACAAGCGAAACGAGAUGGAGGCUUCUCUGCGUGUCCGUAGCCGCUCUCAUCUUCGCACUGGCCCAGGUCAUGGGAGUCUUCAUGAGUGUUCAGUUGGCGCUGCUGCUGAAGGAGCAGGAGCAGAGGGGCGACAUGGAGAGUCGCGUCACGCCGCGAAACACAGAACUCUUGCCAUUCAAUGCUCAAAUCGAUACAGGGAACAAGAACCCAUCAGCACCCACAGCCACGACCAAGAGCAACACAUCCAGCCUGCAUGAGAGCCUGCACGCGGAUCUGAAGAAGGCUCAAGCCAAGAGGCUCUCUAGCAGCUGAGACAGAACAAGAAGACAUCACAGUUGAAAGCCAAUAUGUUAAGACGUUACUUAAUACUGUUCUGAACAGUCUUUUAUAUACAUUUAUUUUAUAGUAGAAAAGAACCGCAAUGAAAACGAAGAAAAUGUGUACCUAUUGUUUGUAAAACAGAAACACUAAAAAUUAUUUAUUUCAUGCAAUGCAUUUUAUAUACAUACAAUAAAAGGAAUCUAUAGAAUUUGCGUGUUUACCAAUUGAUUCAUGCUAUCACGUAGAAAAUUAAUAGGUUAACAAUAAUAAAUUAUUGCACAGACUGCCAUUAAAUACCGAGAUACAUUCAUGAAUGCAUCAUCGAGAUAAAAAUGUUUCCGUAAGUCAGAACAUCCAGGGAGUGCCUUUUCACUGAAUUAUCUCUGUUUUCCUUGGCAUUUUGAGUUAUUUUUAAGACGGUUUUGAUAACGAGGAUUCACAAUACAGUGUCUCAAAUUUAUAAAAUCAAUCUGGUGGAUAUAUAGAUUGCAUAAAAGAAGCAUUAUUGUGUUGAGUUCUAAUCAAUGACAUUUCAUGCCACACAAUUAAAAGUUCAGGGGUCCAGAAAACUUCUAAGAAAAUUAGUAAAAGAAAGAAUAGAAAAGAAUUGUCUGGCAAACAUUCAAAGGCCAUAAGGAAGCACAGGAAGAGCUUAAUAAUGCUCCACUCCAAAAGCAUUGUCAAGGGAUUUGUGCAAUCAGUUUUCAAGUACUGUCAUUUAAGCUCAUGAAAUUACACAAUGUGUGUGAAAUUCCAUAUUGACUCAUCUGCAAUUAAUUUGGAGCAUGACGCCCUAUAUGGAUACUUAAAGAAUUAAAUCCUGCAGAGCUUCACUCAUUGUUUGCAGAGUUUGCAGUGUUCGCAGAAUUCAACUUGUUGCUUCUCUAAACUCUUUCCUAGAUCGAUAUUUGAUAUGAGAGUGUUUGUAAUUUCUUGGCAAGCCGAAUUUGAAUUAAUUGCAUAUUUUUCGAAUAAAUAAAUAAGCACGUAGGAGAGCUGGAAUGUGUAUCUAAAUCAGACAUCUUCUGGAAAAGCCAAUAAUCUGUCCAGAGGGAGAUUUCCAUCGCAUAAUCAACCAAUGGUGACGGUGGAAAAGCACGGCUUUGCUGUGUGGAAAAUAUGUGAGGCGCGAGAGUUUGAGAAACACUCAUAGAAUGCCUUGAUAAGCCUCGAGCGCGUAGAGUCACUUUUAUAAACACACAACACACCACCAAAUUGUUCCAGUUCGACUGUGACCGCCGUGGAAUACGUACCGAGUGAGAGGUUUCCUUUGGAUUUUGUGACAAAUCUAUAGAAUUAGUUUUUGCUGAAAGCCGCCAAAAAAUCACUCAAGAUGAAUUGUGGGAUGAGCCUUGUGAAAUAUGUCCUCUUCAUAUUCAAUUUGCUGUGUGCGCACUUCUGGGAAGGCCACCGAAUACCUUUUCACUCCCAUGAUCAACAGUAUUCAUUGUCAUCACUCUCUAUGACUCAUGCUAUGCGAUAAUUACCGGGGGGAUUCACAUCGCAAUAUACAUACUCAAUACAUGAACACCAGAGUCACGGAUAAUGUGGCCCGCGGAGCAUUAAAGUUCGAUGUAUCGAUAUGUGUCCAUGGCUUGAGAUCCCGCGCGCACCAACACACCGCGAAAUGGAGAACAAUUUCUCAGAAAAUCUAUGUAAUUGCGCCUCUGCCGUCAUGCAACUCGGGAUUAGUAUUCGUCUUAGGUGAUGCUGAGAGUCUGUCCGGCGUGUCUUGGAAUUCAGGGGUUUGGCUGACCAACACUUCGGCACGGCGCGGAAUUAAGAGUUUGGCUAAAAAUAAUCCACUUUGUAAUCUCGGGCACGGCAAUUUCAUCUGUGAUGAGAAAAUGGCACCAUAGACUAUAUUUUUUUUUAGAGCUGAGAGCGGGGAUUUUGAUUACCAGGCGAGCUAUGUGGCAUUGCCCUGCUGACAAUAGGUAUCAUCGUCCUCGUCAAUGCUGCUGACCUGGAGAAGCUCUUUGGAGACUACAAUGCCAUCGCCGCG